CCUACGUGCGGCAGCAGUGGGGAAUAUUGGACAAUGGACCAAGAGUCUGAUCCAGCAAUUCUGUGUGCACGAUGAAGUUUUUCGGAAUGUAAAGUGCUUUCAGUUGGGAAGAAAAAAAUGACGGUACCAACAGAAGAAGUGACGGCUAAAUACGUGCCAGCAGCCGCGGUAAUACGUAUGUCACAAGCGUUAUCCGGAUUUAUUGGGCGUAAAGCGCGUCUAGGUGGUUAUGUAAGUCUGAUGUGAAAAUGCAGGGCUCAACUCUGUAUUGCGUUGGAAACUGUGUAACUAGAGUACUGGAGAGGUAAGCGGAACUACAAGUGUAGAGGUGAAAUUCGUAGAUAUUUGUAGGAAUGCCGAUGGGGAAGCCAGCUUACUGGACAGAUACUGACGCUGAAGCGCGAAAGCGUGGGUAGCAAACAGGAUUAGAUACCCCGGUAGUC
rnacentral:rRNA from 1 species